rnacentral:rRNA from 1 species
GAUGAACGCUAGCGGCAGGCCUAAUACAUGCAAGUCGAACGGUGUCUUCGGACAUAGUGGCGCACGGGUGCGUAACACGUAUGCAACCUACCUUACAUUGGGGGAUAGCCUUUCGAAAGGGAGAUUAAUACCGCAUAAGACAGUAGCUGGGCAUCCAGCAGCUGUUAAAGAUUUAUCGAUGUAAGCUGGGCAUGCGUCCAAUUAGCUAGUUGGUGAGGUAACGGCUCACCAAGGCAAUGAUUGGUAGGGGAACUGAGAGGUCAAUCCCCCACACGGGCACUGAGAUACGGGCCAGACUCCUACGGGAGGCAGCAGUAGGGAAUAUUGGGCAAUGGACGCAAGUCUGACCCAGCCAUGCCGCGUGCAGGAUGAAGGCGUUAUGCGUUGUAAACUGCUUUUAUACAGGAAGAAACGACUCUUGCGAGAGGCAUUGUCGGUACUGUAUGAAUAAGCACCGGCUAACUCCGUGCCAGCCACCGCCGUAACAC